rnacentral:rRNA from 1 species
AUUGAACGCUGGCGGCAUGCCUUACACAUGCAAGUCGAGCGGCAGCGCAGGUAGUUUACUACCUGGCGGCGAGCGGCGGACGGCUGAGUAACGCGUGGGAACAUGCCCCAAAGUGAGGAAUAACUGCCCGAAAGGGUAGCUAAUGCCGCAUAUGGUCUUCGGAUUAAAGGAUUUAUCCGCUUUGGGAGUGGCCUGCGUACGAUUAGAUAGUUGGUGAGGUAAUGGCUCACCAAGCCGACGAUCGUUAACUGGUCUGAGAGGAUGAUCAGUCAGACUGGAACUGAGACACGGUCCAGACUCCUACGGGAGGCAGCAGUGAGGAAUCUUCCACAAUGGGCGAAAGCCUGAUGGAGCAACGCCGCGUGCAGGAUGAAGGCCUUCGGGUCGUAAACUGCUUUUAUGAGUGAAGAAUAUGACUGUAACUCAUGAAUAAGCACCGGCUAACUACGUGCCAGCAGCCGCAGUAA